UCCCCUGUGGUGUAAUCAGGCAGCACAAUGGGUUUUGGUCCCACAGGUUCAGGUUCAAAUCCUGACAGGGGAG
rnacentral:tRNA from 1 species